AAGUAUGCAUCUUCUAAUACCCAGUUACAUUUUUUGCUAUAUACAGUUACUAGACUAUAUUUGAGAUAACAUCGCUUUUUUUUUUCAAUCAAGAUAAGAAAUUAUAUUGGUUAAAAAACACAUCAACAUCACCAGCUCCAUCAACAAUACAGAAAGUUCCUAAAUUGAAACAAGAAAAUCAUAAAAACACAGUUCACUUCUCAAUCACAGUAAACAACAACAACAACAAACACAGUGAAAUCUCUCAAGGUUCGGGGAGGGUAGAGUAUACACAAACCUUACUACUACCUCGUGGAGGUAGAGAGGCUGUUUUCGACAGACCCUCGACUCAAGUGUAUCACAGUAAAAAAUUCAAAAAUGAAGCAAAAAAACUAUAAAACAACAAACAAUAGCACAAUUUCAAGAAACAGAAAGAAGCAUAACUUGAAAUCGUUAAUCAUUAACAAGUGAAAAAUGGAAAGAAAAUAAAAAUCUUAACACACAAAGGGGUGGGUACUUGGUACAAUAAGCCCAAAAUACACAAGCUCAAAAAAAUCAACACUCAUUUAGCAUGCUAAUCCAACAAAAAUUAACCAGUAAACAAUAGAUCAUAAUUACUAAGUAACAAUUAAAAGUCCAAAACAGCUAACAUCACAAACGUUUUACCUAAAAAAAAUCCACCAAUUUCUUUUUUUUUCAAGAACCUAACAACAAGGCAAAAAAACUAAAAUGCAGACAUGAAAAGCACUGAAAAAGCUAUCAAUCACCACAU
rnacentral:lncRNA from 1 species